AGAGGUGAACUGUAUCCUCCAUGACCUGGAAGAGAGCUAGCUAACAGCAAGCUGGAGAGAAAGCAAAAGUGAAGUGGCCAAAGGAAAGAGUCCAAAAAGGCUGCGAAGCUGUGUUUUGGAAGUGUCUGCCAGAAGCUAGGCUCCAUGCGGGAAAUGAUAACAACAGUGGUAUCCAGCUUAGGAAGCAGCGGCUGCUUGGUCGGGGACUCCGUUUCGGAAGCAUUUACCUUUUGUGUAAGGACCCUGGGUGGUUUAUAUGUCCUUGUACUGAAUUCCAGCAACACCCCUCGGGAUUGGUGUGGUUAGCAUCAACCAUCCUUUUACAAAUAAAGACAGGGAAGGGCUAAAGUUCA
rnacentral:lncRNA from 1 species